rnacentral:rRNA from 1 species
GUCUACUAGUUGUCGGGUUUUAAUUAACUUGGUAACGCAGCUAACGCGUGAAGUAGACCGCCUGGGGAGUACGGUCGCAAGAUUAAAACUCAAAGGAAUUGACGGGGACCCGCACAAGCGGUGGAUGAUGUGGAUUAAUUCGAUGCAACGCGAAAAACCUUACCUACCCUUGACAUGUACGGAAGGCCGAAGAGAUUUGGCUGUGCUCGAAAGAGAACCGUAACACAGGUGCUGCAUGGCUGUCGUCAGCUCGUGUCGUGAGAUGUUGGGUUAAGUCCCGCAACGAGCGCAACCCUUGUCAUUAGUUGCUACGAAAGGGCACUCUAAUGAGACUGCCGGUGACAAACCGGAGGAAGGUGGGGAUGACGUCAAGUCCUCAUGGCCCUUAUGGGUAGGGCUUCACACGUCAUACAAUGGUACAUACAGAGCGCCGCCAACCCGCGAGGGGGAGCUAAUCGCAGAAAGUGUAUCGUAGUCCGGAUUGUAGUCUGCAACUCGACUACAUGAAGUUGGAAUCGCUAGUAAUCGCGGAUCAGCAUGUCGCGGUGAAUACGUUCCCGGGUCUUGUACACACCGCCCGUCACACCAUGGGAGCGGGUUUUACCAGAAGUAGGUAGCUUAACCGCAAGGAGGGCGCUUACCACGGUAGGAUUCGUGACUGGGGUGAAGUCGUAACAAGGUAGCCGUAUCGGAAGGUGC